UUCCCCUCUCUUCUUUCUUGCUUUUCUUCUCCUUCUUAAGAAAUCAUAACUAGACAACGCUUCUGCAACAUAUGUAUAUUUCAUGGCAUAUCGAAUAUAUCACACAAAGAUUUCUAUGACACUGAUUUUAUAUGUGUAGAUCAAAUUGUAUAUUUAUAUAUAUCAAUCAAAUUUGCAUGAAGAUACACAUAUAUACAUGAGAUAAAUAGAUGUACAAUGUGAUAUAGGCAAAGAUAAUUAGGAUAUACAUGACAUAUGGCGGGGGAUAUAUACAUAUGGAGUCAUCUUUAACCUCGAGUUUCAAUUUGAAAUUCAGGUAAAAUCCACCUUAGAUCAUCUUAAGACACCUCUAAAAUUGAGAUUCAUGGUGUAUUCGUUAUGAAGAAAAAUGUUUUUCUAUGAACAAUAUUUU
rnacentral:lncRNA from 1 species